CCUGAGGAUUACAGCAAAACUUUUUCCCCUUGACCAUGUGGUUGAGCCCUUUUGUUCCCAAAACUUUUGCAGAGCUGACUUGGAAUUUUUUUUCUCUAUGGAUUAGCAUUAGGGUUUUUCCCCUUGGCCAUGUGGUGGAGGAUUUUUUUUGUUUGUUCCCAAAACGUUUACAGAGCUGGCAUGGAAAUUUUUCUGCUUUCUACGAUGCUUUUGGAAUUUCUAACUUUCCACUCAGGAUAACUGCAUGACAAGUUUAAGCUGCCAUGCAAGCCCUGAACAAGUGCCUGGAUACAAUGGUGAGCUGUAUGAGAAUCAAUAAGCUGAAACUGAAUGCUGGGAAGAGAAGAGGUCCUAUAGGGCAGAAAGACAAUGGGAGAGGAGUCAAUGAGAGAAGCCCAGCAUGAAGAGGAAAAGAAAAAAGUCAGCCAACAAAGAGUGUACAAUAGACUGAAGGAACUGUGAAAAGAACUGCUAUCAAUCUAGCAACAU